GUUAGGUGUUGGUAGUUGUGGAGCGGCAGACGAGGUAGUAAAACGUAGGGACGCACCCAGAAGUCUGGUAUAGCUUCGCGAAAGCGGAGGUAAUCCCAGAUGUGGUCGCCGAUGAGGCGACCAAAGGAGUGAUUCGCUUCUGGAGCGACCUGCGGAGUAUCAGCUAGUUGGUAGGGUAACGGCCUACCAAGGCGAUGACGCUUAGGGGACCUGAGAGGGUGACCCCCAC
rnacentral:ncRNA from 1 species